rnacentral:rRNA from 1 species
AGUGAACGCUGGCGGUAGGCCCAACACAUGCAAGUCGAACGGCAGCACAGUAAGAGCUUGCUCUUACGGGUGGCGAGUGGCGGACGGGUGAGGAAUACAUCGGAAUCUACUUUUUCGUGGGGGAUAACGUAGGGAAACUUACGCUAAUACCGCAUACGACCUACGGGUGAAAGCAGGGGAUCUUCGGACCUUGCGCGAUUGAAUGAGCCGAUGUCGGAUUAGCUAGUUGGCGGGGUAAAGGCCCACCAAGGCGACGAUCCGUAGCUGGUCUGAGAGGAUGAUCAGCCACACUGGAACUGAGACACGGUCCAGACUCCUACGGGAGGCAGCAGUGGGGAAUAUUGGACAAUGGGCGCAAGCCUGAUCCAGCCAUACCGCGUGGGUGAAGAAGGCCUUCGGGUUGUAAAGCCCUUUUGUUGGGAAAGAAAAGCAGCAGGUUAAUACCCCGCUGUUCUGACGGUACCCAAAGAAUAAGCACCGGCUAACCUCGUG